rnacentral:rRNA from 1 species
GAUCAUGGCUCAGGACGAACGCUGGCGGCGUGCUUAACACAUGCAAGUCGAACGGAGCACCCUUGAAUGAGGUUUCGGCCAAAUGAUAGGAAUGCUUAGUGGCGGACUGGUGAGUAACGCGUGAGGAACCUGCCUUUCAGAGGGGGACAACAGUUGGAAACGGCUGCUAAUACCGCAUGACGCAUUCGGAUGGCAUCAUCUGAAUGCCAAAGAUUUAUCGCUGAAAG